UUGUAGCUAAAGUCAACAGUGACAGAGUUUGAGCUCAAAUAAAUGCUGUGAUGUCUGGAGCCCUUUGCAGAAGGCAGAAGGCAAGCUCCUACAAUGGGCUUCAGUGGGGCUUGCCAACAAGCACCGGCUAUUUUGCACAGGGCUCUGCUGACUGAAGUGAUCCCCACGGCCUGAGCGGAGGAGAGGAGGGAGAGGAAGCCUCGGAGGGAAGAGGGAUAGUUCUGGAGGAGCCUCGCUGACGCACUCACGCUCACAAAAACUCAAACACAAUGUCCCCCUCAGUCCUGGGCUGUGACCGGCCCGUGGCAUUGCCCAGAAAUUCAUGGAUGUUCCUAUGAAGAGACACAUCCAGGCAGCCUCACUUUCAUCUCCCUGCAUCAUUUGAGCUGAAAGCUCCUUCCUGUCGAUGCACUUGGCUAUAUCUACGUCUGACCUGUCUGCUAUAUGUAAUAUCAAAGCCUCUGUCAGCACGGAGCUGAAUGGGAACAAAAGAGAUGCCUCUAUUAAUGAUUAACUGUUCUAAAAGCCCCGGCUUUUGUAUUCCCAUGGUGCCCAGGCUAUCUGGCCACCAUGUGACAUGCUCACAGCAUUUUUUGAGCAGAUUGGGGGAAAGCUAGUGAGCAAACACAGGUGCUUUGGAGCAGCGGUGCCGACGCUGUCAGGGACAACCACAAACAAGAGCAGCUAUGCCUGGCUAAAUGAAUCCCCACCCCUCCCAGCACCAUCACCACCUCCUCAACCCCCCGCUCUGUCACCAGCUAACUUGUUUGCUAGCUCCCUAUAGCUUUCUCCUUCUGCAUGGUGGCCGCCCCCCGCCCCUCUUCCUUGCACAAAUGCAAUGUCCGCUGCAGUCAGGCUCCAGAACUUCUCACACUCUCCAAAGAAACAAACAAAUAAAAGUGAGGACGGCCGACCACUUCUUUGAGGUGAUGGCAUUUGCUGCGGUCAUGACUAGUGGGAGAGCAAACAAAUUAAUGGUGUCCGUGUUUUCACUUUCUAAACCAAACUAAAUGUCUUUUAGUUCAAGUGGGGCAAUACAACUGACCUCGAUGUCAAAUGCUGCGUAAAGGUUGCACACUCUUGCACUUGAAAUGCUGAGAAGAGGCCAUAAGAAAUUAACCAGAACUUGAGUAAUAUUAUAUAUGAGUAGAAAAAUAACAAAGUAAACAUGUAAAAAUCUAAAUAAUCUACUGAAAAAAAAGAGUGUUUUAGCAGCAAGCUAUAACCAAAGAUGACUGAAGUGCUUAACCUUUUCAUCACAGUGACUUGGGGUGCUGUGUCUCUCAAGUUUGAUAAGACAAUCAGAUGAUAGGAUGGCGUUAUCUUAACACGGCUUUUCCUGCUGGGAGACAAAUGAACAGCGAAUGAUAAAGGGAACAAAAGCUUUGCUCUCAUAGGCUGGUACCUCAGAGCAAAGGAAAAAUGAUCAGAGUGGAAAAUUCACAUAAGGUGCCCAUAUUUCAUUUUCAAUUUGGCUCUCAAGCUAAAUCACAGGAACAGCAUUUUAAAAUUUUUUUAAAAUCAUUUUAUAUCUUUAUUAUCUAAUGAUGGAUUUUGGGUUUGAAAACUGCUCGUACCUGACCCUGUAGAUCAGCUAUCAAAGAAUAAAGGUGAUAAAAUGCUUCACAAAAACUGAACAUCAGGGAGAGAAGAAAUAAAUCUACCGCCAUGCAAGUAGCAAACACAGAAAAAAGGUCUGGCUAGAAAAGAUGAGAAAUCAAGGAAAAAGCGAAAAUGUCAGCAUUGUUUCUUGUGUUUGAGAUGAACAGUCUUCCAGAAAAAAAGUGAAAUGUGGUUUCUUCUUGAACCCUCCACUGAUCAAUGAAACCUCAAUUUUCUGUGGGUUCUCUGACUUUUGCAGCCUAUUUCUCAUAGUAAGAAAAAAUGUGUAUACACAUGGAUGUGGUCCAAAGUUUUGUUUGCUCAUUUCCCCCCCCAAAAAUGAUUGGAAAUAAGUAUAAUUUAAAACUGAAUAUAUUGUCAUGUAUGAAUAAAGUAUUUUAUUUUUAA